rnacentral:rRNA from 1 species
UACGAAGGGGGCUAGCGUUGCUCGGAAUCACUGGGCGUAAAGGGUGCGUAGGCGGGUUUUUAAGUCAGGGGUGAAAUCCUGGAGCUCAACUCCAGAACUGCCUUUGAUACUGAAGAUCUUGAGUCCGGGAGAGGUGAGUGGAACUGCGAGUGUAGAGGUGAAAUUCGUAGAUAUUCGCAAGAACACCAGUGGCGAAGGCGGCAUACUGGCCCAUUACUGACGCUGAAGCUCGAAAGCGUGGGGAGCAAACAGG